AUCUAGCUGACGAGUCCCAAAUCGGACGAAACGCGUGUCUAACUGAAU
rfam:Schistosoma haematobium scaffold643_2, whole genome shotgun sequence.